CAGGCUGCACAGGGGCAGCUCAGGUAUAGUCAGCGGGAUAUUGGGGUCACACACUUAAUUCAUUAAUCCACCAAAGCAGCAGCUCAGACAGCCACUUUCCCAGUUAGUUUACGUUAACUGCUCAUCCAGGGUUGGUCAGUUGACUGAAAGCUAGUUCUUGUCAGAACCGUCAUGUGACAGUUGCGGUGGAAUGUCUGGGCUUCUGAGGCAGAGAGCCAAACAGAUACUGGUCACUCAGGGUGGUCCCCUAACCAUCAGGAAGGCUCACCAGGAGGCAGGUGACAGUGUAAGCAUGCUGGGGAAGGUUGAACACAAGUUUGAACAUCCCUUUUCCUUCUGAGGGGCUUUAAUCCAGGAAAGAUACAGCCCAAUUCCAGCAGUGGGUAAGAACAGUGGGCAUCUUGUCACAUGCCAGGGUGCACCACACACAGGACUCCAUUGAAGGUGCUGUGGAAAUUCAAUGUCAAGACUGGCCAAUCUCAGUUCAGUCUAUGCUUUUUAAAGAAUCACAUCCGUACACUCCAGCCACUUCUCUAAAUAAAGCAAAGCUCCAAGAGUAUUUCAUGAGCAACACCACCGCUGAAGGACUGUUACUCUGAGUCCCCCUAGCACCCCAAGACAACAAGUUGGAGGAGCUUCCUACUGGCGGGGCAGACAAACAGGCUCCAUGAAGUGCCAAAGUAAGGUGACUUCAAUGACACGUGAAAAUGGUCUGCAUUCUGGAACACUUACAUGCUGAGGAAAAAAUCCAAAUGAACAGAAAGGUGGGGCUUUCUUGCUGGCCUUAGUCUGGAGAGCCUCCAUGAUUCCAGCUUCCUGCUGGGAAUGAGGAUGGGGAGUGUGAUGUAAGAACUGUUUUCCCAGGCAUUUCAUCAUGUGAAUUUUAUCAAUUCCUCUGGAAGGAAUCGUGAGAAUAAUAUUAUUUACUGUAUAACAUAAAGUAUGACUUUGGAAGGUUAUUGCUUGGGAUCCAACGUUUUGAUCUUGCACUGAACCUACAGAGUUUCUAUUCAGCUGUGCAGAUGUUUAAAAACUCCCCAGCCCUCCCAGAUGACAGUGCCAGUGAGGGGACAUUCAGAAAGAGGGGCCAGGAGAGGAAGCUUGUGUCAGCCUCACAGAGGCCUCAGAGUGACCUCAGCAACUGAGAGGGGCCAAGCCCUGCUGUAACCUGACCUUGUGAGGGGUUCCUGUGAGGCUAAUUCUGCCAAGUGCUACAUGGGCCUGUGAACAGUGGGCACACCAUGGCGGGGCCCAUCCAGCAGUGGGAGGACCCCCUGCCUGCACCAACUUCCCUCAUUGUAGUUGUGGAACUUAGGAUGGAGGGCGGGGGAGAGGUGGCAACUGCAGAAUGUGGC
rnacentral:lncRNA from 1 species